UUUUGCCAUGCCAUUGCGAUUAAUGAACAGAGUAGCAUACUUUUUUUUGGACAAGGUGCAAGUUCUCUUUUUCAAAUUUAUAGACACGUACAAUGAUGCUAAUCUAUGCUAGUGCUGGUGCCCAGUUUAUAGUCUAAUAUUCCCCAACAUUAGUUUCAAAUUACCAAAUCUGCUUAACGUAGGAACUUUCAGUAGGAUCCAAAAUGAUCAUAUAAGAAAGCAUGGAUAAGCAUAAUAGGUCAUAAUUUAUAACUAAUGUGGAAAUUGAGAUACAUGAUUACUAGACAAGAAAUAGAUUCCAACUGGAAAAUGCAUACAGGAGUAGACUCUAGACUUCACUAAAAUGACAAACUCGAAUUCAGAUCACUUUAAUUAUGUGAAUGAAUACGAUAGACUACAAUGGAACCCCUAAAGACUCAAUGCAGAUAAUUGAUUCCCUUUAUUCUUAGAUUUAUUGGAAGUUUCAUAGCCAAGCAUGUUCAAGGACGUGGGUUUGUUCCUGCAAUGCCAGCACCAUGACCUGCUGGAAUUGGCACCUCAAAACCAGGGUUUGGAACGAAUGUGUCAUCACCACCUGGAAUCUGGCGAUUUCGGCCAAUUGUGCUGCCAACGUGGCCGCCACUGCUGCCGGUGUGGGUGCCAGUGCCGAUAGUGUGUGGAUUGUGAUGUUUGAAAACUGGUGGCAGCAACACUCGUCCAAGGCCUGGAAUGAGCACACUACGGUCAUGUUUUAGAUAUUCAGGCUGUUUCAUUUGAUCAUCAUUCUUCGAGAUGUCACGUGCUGCAAUGGCUUGCCCAGCAAUAACAAACAGAAUGCUGAGGAUGAAAACGUGAGAAAGCAAGGAACUAAUUUUGCAAGCCAUUAUCAGAGUAAGUAAGAGUGAGAGCUAGGAUUGGUUCUGAUAUGAUGGAGAGAAGGGAUUAAAUAAUGCUUCUUAAAGAGAAGGUCUAAGUGAGUUGGUUGAUCAAUUGGCGGUGAGUUAGAAAGAGCAUUCCAUUUUGAAAGCACCAUUGAAGGAGACGUUCCAUAAAAACAGAAGCAAAGCAUUCAAUAAUGCAGCAUGAAUUGCAUGGGUAGGUUAGGUGGCUUAGGGUUUGCCAUGUUGGGUGAGGUUUAUGGGGUAGUUAUGAGAUUUUUCUCUUCAAAGGCUACGUAUCUAUACUAAAAACGCUUAGAUUAUAUUUACGUUAUGUUUUUAUAUUAUAUUUUUGACUAAUUCGUUCUUUCAUCAUAAUUCUAUCGAAAAUUUAGAUGAAUAUACAUCUGUCAUGUAAGAUUUACUUGCCUUUCUCCACAACUUAUAAUUAUCUUUUUUUUUUUUUUGUUUUGGUUUAGGAUUUAAGCAAUUCAACUUAAUAUUAAUUGAAAACAUGUAAACAAAAUCAUAUAAAAAUAUUUGACAUAGGAGUGAUAAUAGCUGACACAAAAGCUUUGUUAUGUUGUAAAUUCAAUGAAUAAUAGGCAUGUAUAACAUACAAUGAAAAAAAUGUGCUUUUUUAUAAAUAUAAUAUUAUCAUGUACAUAAACUUUAACUAUAGCUCCAAUCAAAUCUGGGUAAAGAAAUUUUUUAAUACCAUAUUAAAAUAGAUAUAAACUUAUUUGUUUUUUAAAAAAAUUAAAUUGAUUAAAAAAAAACAUAAUUUAUUAUUGGUGAGAAUAUGGUCUAAGCACUUAUACUUUUUACACUUUGGAAUUUAAUUCCUCUACUUAUAUUUUUAGUAAUUUAUUUCACGUAUUUUUAAAUUUAUUAAUAAAAUAUUUUAAAAUAAAAAAAUAUUUACUUGAUAGUUAUAUAACAAAAACAAAUGAUAUUAUAAUAGGAUUAAAUUUAAUAAAAAAAAUUGACAAUUAAACUUAUAUUUUUAAAUUUAAAAAAUAAAGAGACUAAAUUGAAAGAUUAAAUUAUAUGAAAAAAUAUAUAACGUAUUUAAAUUUAAAUUUGAAUAUGAUGACCCACAAAUAGUGACUUGCAAAAUGUUGAGUGCUACCAAAUAAAACGGAGCAAUAAAGGAUUUUAUGCAUAAAGCCUAGAGGUGUAAACCAUUUUGCUCACAUGGAUAUAUUCAAUGUGUGUAUAAAUAUGGGUGAAAUGAGAUUUGUCUAUUGAUUAUAAAGCAAUGCUUAUUUAACUUGCAUUUUUACAUUUAAAAAAAACUAAGGCUCCUUUAUAUUUUUUAAUUUUUUUUGUUUUUAUUUUAAAGCCGAUAUUUUUAUUUUUUAAAUUAAAAAACAUCUUUGGUAAAAAGAAAUAUUUUCAGUAAUAUAAAAUUACGAUUCAUAUUUAUUUCCUAUAAUAGAAACAUGAGAAAAAAAUAAAAAUAAAAAUUGCAUUUAUAUAUUUUGGAUCUAUGGUAUUUAAAAUUUCUUGAAAAAAAAAUUCUUUUUCGGGUUUGAAUUAGAAUCAAUUCAAUAAUUAAAUUUAAAUUUAUUUUUAAAAUUUUUUAGUAAAAAUAAUUUUUUAUUAUUUCCUAAUUUUUAUAUAUUUUUAUUUUUAUUUUCAAAAUGUUGUUUUAAUAAAAUUUCAACUAAACAUCUUUUAGUAUUUCUUAUUUAAGAAAAACAAAAACUAAAAUGAAAAAGUUUCUAUUUCGUGACACCAAAUGGAGACUAAAUUUUGUUCAGUUUCAUCUUAACUUGUUUGUAUUUAUUUUCAAUAUAUAAAAGAGCAUUAUCAAGUCCAGGAGCCACUGUCCCUAGCCAUGAAGAUUUAACACUUUCGGCCUUUCUUUUUUUAGCAAAGCGAAAUUUCGUUUCAAGGUAGAGGAGCUACAACCCUGUAAGAGUAGUAAGAUCAUGAGGGGGAGACACUACCCACCUAUUACCACGGUGAUAUCGGUUCGGUCAAAUUUUUAAAUUUUUUAAUUUGUCUAUCAUAAUUUGAUUCCAUUCUUGAUUUUUCAUAUAAUUUUUUAUUUUGAUUUUCUAGACUUAUCUUGAUGGCAUGAAGACAAAAUUUUAAAAUUUUUUCAUAAAUAUUUCUAAAAAAAAUAGUUUUUCAAAAACUUUUAAAUUAUUUUAACUAUUUUAAAUAUAAAAUAUUUAUUUUUAUAUCAUGAAAAAUUAAUGUUCAGUUUGUUUGCUAGGAAAAUGUUUUCUGGAAAAUAAUUUUUGAAAAAUGAUUUACUUUUAUAGAAAUGAUUUACUUUUCUGGUGUUUGGAUGAAUUUGUGUAAAAUAUUUUCUGUUGUUUAGCAGAUUUCCUAAAAAUAUUUUCUGGAAAAGUUAUUUUUACAUAUAUUAAUAAAUUUAUAUAUAUAUAUAUAUAUAUUAAUAAUUUAUAUUUUUAAAUUGUUUUUACAUAUAUUGCAAUGAUAUAUUUAUAAAUAAAUAAAUCAAAUUAAAUAUAUAAUAAUACUUAAUUAAUUGUAAUAAGUUAAAUAAAUUAUUUGUAAUUGUGUUACAAAAAAAAUAAGGAUUGAAUAAUUAUAAAUUAGCAUCCAAACCACAAUUAAUAGGAAUUAUACGGUUGAUGAACCAUGUCUUAUUAAGAAAAGAUGAAACCAAAAAUAUGAAACUUGAAAUAAGAUUCGUAUUUGACAUUAAAGUGAACCAGGGUCUCGUACAAAUAUCCAUACAACAAAAUUGUGGGUAUAUAUGUUGCUGUAUUCCAUAUCUAAAUGUCAAAGACAUAUAAAUUGUUAUAUAUUGCAUUUUAUAUAAUAUCAAGAUCUGCUAUACAAGCAUAUACACAAUUGAAGAGGGUAGUUACGUUAAAAAUGCCUACAAAAAUGAAAAGCAAUUCCUGUAUGCCUACAAAAAUGCCUACAAAAAUCAAUUCAAGAAGAACCCUGGUAGAUAUGCCUGGCAACACUGGAAGCAAUUCCUAGAUAACCUGAGCAACAUUUACACCCUGUUGAUGUUUAACAAAAUGAAAAGCAAUUAAUGAGACAUGAAGAAUGUAUAAUAAUUGCUAAUAGAGAGAUAAGUUUGUUCGUAAAUGGUUUCGAUUUGUUAAAACUGCAAACUUUGGAGUACCUGACUUGACGACGUUGAUAUUGAACUUCUCGCUGUUAAGAAUUUGAGAAUUUUUUGGACAUUAUUUAGUAUAACUCUAUCUUCCUCAGUUAUUGAAGGCAAAAGUCCUGCUGGUUUGAAGGGUCCAACUAUUGGAACCAAGCUAAACACUGGGGCAACAUUUCUUACUCCCAACAUUGACAUUAUUUGAACCAACUGUUCCCUGAUAACGAUAUGUUUGGCAAUGCUUUUGAAAAAUGUUUUUGAAAAGUGCUGUGGAAAAGUACUUUUAAGGAGUGCUUUUGAAAAGUGUUUUUGAAAAUUUGAAUGUUUGUUAUUACUGUCAAAAAGUACUUUUGAGAAAUAAAAUGUUCAUUUUAGACAUGAUAUUAUAAAGUAACAAAUAUGUAUUUAAAUAAUGUUCAAAUUAGUUAAUAUUAUGAUAUUUUAGCAAUAAUAUAAAAAUAAUUUAUUAUAACUUAUUGUUAAUAUUUUAAUAUAUAAUAUUAAUUUUAAAUAUUUUUAAGUAAUUUAAAUUUAAUUAGAAUAUAUAAACUAUAUUUAAAUAUUUAAAUAUAAUAAUUAAAUAUUUGUAGUUAGAUAUUGACAUAAUUGUAUUAUUUUAAAAAUAUUUUUUUUAUUUUUAAUUAAUGAUUUUAACACAUUUGUAUUAUUUUAUUUUAAAAUGUACUUUGAAUAUAUAACUCAUAUUAAAUAUUAACAUAACAUAGAAAACAUAAACCUAGCAAAUUAAAAUAUUACAUAUAUUUGGUUUAAAGUUUCAAAAAGGGAUAAUAUUUAUAUACCAAAUAUAAAUACUAAAAAUUUUAUUUUUUUAUAGCAUAUCUUGUUAAUUCCAUUUCAAAACCACUUGAAUUGUUUGAUUCACCGUCAUCAUCACCAUCAUCAUCGUCAUCAUCAUCAUCACUUUCUCAACCAUGCGCAUUUUCUGAAUCAAUAAUAUUCUCAUAUGCCCAGUUAAUAUCUUCGUAUUCCAUAAAAUCUGCAUUAUUUUGACCGACAUGUUUUCUGAUAAAAUUGUGUAUCGCCAUUGUAGAAACAAUGAUCAUCGUUUGCUUUUCAAAACUAUAACUUGUCAUAUCCCUUAAAAUGAUCCAUUUUUUUUCAAAACACCAAAAGUUCGUUCAAUCACACUACGUAAUGAUGAAUGUGAAUGAUUGAAUAUCUCUUCUUGACCAGAUACCGGUCUACCUCUACGAAAGUCAAGUAAAUGAUAUCACUGACCUCUAUAUGGUCCAAGAUAACCUUUCAUUUGAGGAUAUCCAGAAUCAACAAGAUAAUAUUUUCCUACAUGUCAUAAUAUAACAAACAAUUAAUUCAAGAAUUAUUUUUUAUAAAAAUUAUCAAUUAAAGAAAUUUUACUUUAUUAUUUAAGAAAGAAAGAAAUAAAUGAAAUACCUAACCAUUUGGUGGGUGCGGAAAUUUGUAUUUUGGAUCUCGAAUUGCAUCAAGAAAUAUUCUAGUGUCAUGUGCCGGUCAUUUCCAUCCAGCCAUGACAAAGGUGAAACACAUAUUAAAAUCACACACUACCAUAACAUUUUGACAUUUUCUUCCAAUAUAGGGAAUUUGUUCAUUUGGUGGAAGAAUAGCGGCAAUAUGAGUACCAUCAAUUGCACCAUGCAAUCUUGAACAAAUAAUCAUAUUAGUCUCUUGCAUAUUUUUAGUUGACCAAAAAUAUUAAAAUAUAAUAAUAUAAAGUUAAAUUUUAACCUUAAAAUGCGGCAUAUAUCUAGAAUCAUUACAUAUUUGUUCGAGUAUUGAGCUAAAAAAAGGAUCUUCGGGUGCAAUUAGAUCAGCGGCCAUCCUUGAAACUUUCUCAAGCACAAUUGCAAAGUAUCGACUUAUUGUUGAUCCAGACCUUUGAAAUCUUUCUCGACAUUGGAAAACUUUUGCACCGGUGCCCAAGAUGUAUAAAAAAAUUCCCGACAUUUCACUAGAAGAUAUGUUUCUUAAAGUUUGCAAGUUGUAUCUUGUCUCCAAAACUCUCAACAAACUUGUGAAUACCAUUUUAGACAUUCUAAAAUUAAUCAUACAAUGUGAUUCGUGACCGUCAAGGAUCUCUCGGAUCCAUGUCUCCCCUGUCUAUUUUGAAUCCAUGCAUAGUUGCUUCAAUAUAUACUUCUCGUAAUAUAAUUGCACAGAAGAAGAUGCAACAACAAACAAUCGGUUAAAACAUUCCACGUGUUGUAAAAUAUCUUUCUUUUCCCUUUCAUCAUCACUUUCAUCACCACUGGAAUUCUCAACUAUACUCAUCACCUGUGAAUAAAUUUUAUAUCCAAAAUCAUAUAUAAACAACUAUUGAUAAAACUAAUUUAGUAUAAAUAAGUAGAACAUAAAUUUAAUAUCCAAAAAUCAAACAUAAUCAAUUAUUGAUAAAACUACUCCUAAGCAUAAAUAAUUAGACCAUAAAUUCAAUGUCCAAAUACCAACCAUAAACAACUAUUAAUAAAACAAGAUUACACAUAAAUAAGUAGAACAUAAAUUCAAUAUCCAAAAACUAAACAUAAACAAUCAUUGAUAAAACUAGAUUACACAUAAAUAAGUAAAACAUAAAUUUAAUAUCCAAAAACCAAACAUAAAUAACUAUUGAUAAAACUAGUUUAGCAUUGUUGUUUAGUAACAUAAUAUAUAUCUUUGAACCCUAGAAGAUUAGAAAAUUUUCAACUAUCCUCCAUUUCCGUCUUAAGCCACAAAGCUCUAAUCUUGGGAUUAAUUGAUAAAAACAUAAUUCGCUUGUCCUUAUUGAGCAAUAAUUUAAGUAAGAAAAAAUAUAGCGGGCUAGCUUCUGGAACUUCUUCCGACAUGCUGUCAAGCACCUUGACUACUUGUGGAAUACCAUAUGGAUCCAUAACAGGAGUCAAACUAGAUGUGGCUUGACUCAUAUUGUCAGCUGCAUUGCAUAAUUUUUCUAUUUGACUGGACAAUCUUGCAGCCCCUCCAAUUUGCUUUGAGGAUUUCUUUCUUCUUAUUUUAAAAUGUGAACUUGAUAUCUCAGGGUUUUUUCUUUUUUGACCGUUUCCAUCAAUUUGAACAUCAUUUGAAAUGUGAACAUCAUUUAAAAUGUGAACAUCAUUUCUCACAUUUUCUUCUUCAUUCUUUUCAAGUAUUUCAUUGUUAAUAUCCUAAAAAAAAUCACUACGGAGUGUACCAGAAGAAAGUGCCCAUGCUUUAUCACCUGUUGCAACUAUCCCCAUGAAUAUUUGGUCCAACUUCUCUUCGAAUUCAAGAUCAAUGCUCGAUGCUCUAAAUUUUUAAGCUUUAGGCACAACCUACAUAUAAAAUGAUAGUUUAAUAACAGUAAUUAUCAAUAACCUCAUAAAUAAAAAGAAAACAAAAAUAUUCAGAAUUAUUAAUGUACCUUUAGCCUACUCUUCCACCAAUCAUCCGAUGCAUCAACGGUUCUUUUUAUAGGAUUCCACCCUAGUCCAAUAUCUUUGCCUUUAAGUUUCUUCCAAGCUUUCCAUUCUUUUUUUAGGCAUCCCACCUAUUUUUAAGUUGUCUUUGUGAAAAAGCCUUGCCCGUUUCUUUCUCAAAGUUGGUCAUUAUUUUCAACCAUCCAUAUUUUGUGAAAUGAGUACCAGGCCUAUUGCCUUUCAAUAUCUCUUUAAUACAAAUAUCACAAAAUAUUUUUGUUAAUCUCUUAUCCCACAUUGCUUUGACUUUUUCACCACUAACUUCAACCGCCGAAGUACUUAUUUAUUGUGUAUACGAACAGAUUCGUUUCAGCCAGUAAAACAAUCAAGAAAAUCAAAUGUCACAUAUGUAUUUUUUUUACGUGUAUCAAAAUCUAGAUAGGAUCCUAAUAUUUUUUUUUUCUCAAUCAAAUUCAACUUUCCAAGACCGGAAUAAUAACCAAGAAAGAGAACACAACUAAUAAUAGCAUCAAACACAAUUAAAAAGUCAAUAUUGAAUGAAACUGAUUGAGUUAUUAGGAUUGUAUAGUGCACGUUAUGCCAUAAGGCUGAUAAUUUUUAACAUCAUGUUCACUAGUUAAAUGGUUGUAUCAACUUUUUCUCACAACUAAAGAUAAAAAUAUUCUCCAUAUACCAUAUUUGGAAAGUUAUAUGGAUAUUAUAGACCAGAUCAUAAAUCAUUAAACCAUGCAACUUUAAUGGCAAAACAAACAUACUAAUAAAACAUAGAGAGGCUGUUUAAUGCUAAAACAUAUACAAGCUAAAACUGCAUAUGGUCAAUUGAAAAUAUCUAUUAAUUUACAAUUUAUGUAAUACUUUUGAAGGAAUAAAACACCAAAUUACUACUGCAUGACAUCAUGAAAUGACCAUUUGGAAAUGAAAAAAAAAUCACAAAACAAAGAUCAAAAUGAAAAUAACAAGUUGAGAAAGCUAUAAUAAUCUUAAAAGAGUAUAAAUCAAACAAACCUAGAAGUAAAGGAAAGAAAAUUUACACAACUUAUAUAGUACAAAAUAAAUAUAAAAAUUCAAGCUUUCGUCUAUCUAUCUGUCUAUAUAUAUUACUUUAUCUAACAAAUCCAAAUUAGCUGAAAAAUUUACAUUAUCAUCCAUAUAAUUUACGCAAAAAUAUCCUAGUUAAGAACAAAAAUCAAAGAAACAAAUAACUUAAAUCCACCAAAUUUUAAAAAAGAAAAUCUUGACAAGCAAAUCUUUAUGAACCCAAAAUUUUGUUCAUUAAUAAGAGUAAAACACCAAAAAAACAAAAUCCUCAACCUCUAAGCAUAGGGGUAGAGAAGCCAAAAAUGAGAAGCAAAGGGUAAACAAACAUGAAAUUUAAAACAAACCCGAAAAAAGUUCACCCAUAAAUAAUGAAAAGAAGCAUUGAGAAACCAAAUAAUAUUAAACUCAUAAAGAAAGAAAAAAAGAGUAUUUUAGAGGGGAGAAAGAAAGGAAAAGCCAGCAAAUAUAUUUACCUGAGAAAAUAGUUGAAAUCUUUGAAGAGAAAAGAUAACUAAAGAAAGAAAUGGGAGCAAAACAGAGACAGGAGAUGGGAGGGGAAUGGAUUAUGAAGCAUGUGACAGUCUCCUAUAGAUAUAGAGACAAAGGCCAUUAAUUUUUUUUUAAUGCAUAAUGAACAUUUAAAGAGAAAAAGAAGAAAAGAGAGACUCACCUGUGGAGAAGAAGAACCAGAGGAAAAGUAAAGUUCAGACAAAUGAAAAAAUGGGGAAAAAUAGGUAUAACGUUUGAAAAAAUGGAAAAAAAGGAAGAGAACAAAUAGGGUUAAAAAAGUAAUAUCAACCUUAAAAGUACUUUUGGCUGAAAAAAGCACCAAAUUUCUACUUUUUCAUCUGAGAAAAAAAGACUUUUUUUAAGUUGAAAAAGCUUCUACUUUUUACCUCUGUUCUUUAUUACUUUUUAUGUAAAAGCAUUUUUUUCCCUAAAAGCUCAUCUAAAAAUCAAUGUCAAAUGCAACCUAAGUGCAUCAAUGCCCUUUACAAUCUGCUUAGCAAACCCAGAAACAUUAGUUCGAUAUUUAAGCAACCUCACACCAAAUUGUCAUAAAGAAUUUAUGCUCAAAAGGUAAAACAAUUAUAUAACAAAAGACCAAAAGAGAAACAUGAAGAAACUUGGUAAAAUAACACAAGCGUGCAACUUUCUCAAAGAAAAUGAUUAUAACCAACCAUUUUUUUCCCUUCUGAAUAUUAGAUCAAAAAUUACCUCAUCAAGAAGAAAUUCUCGAAAAAAAUUUCUCUUCUCAGACAGUAGAAAUCCUAAGGCUGCUCUUGUUUGAACAAGUUGCUUUGAUUGAGAUUCACUUAGUAGAAAUCUAGGGAAGGAAAUAUCUGCUUACCUUUGUAGAAGACCUAGUUCAAUCAUAUCCCCAUUCAAAUUCUCCCCACCUCCACUUUUUGCUGUAGUUAUGAAAUUCUCAAAGGCUUGCAUCACAUCAAUGAAUCUUUCAGCAUAAAAAACACCUAAUUUCCCGUAUAUUAUAUAACGCAAAGCAUUCUUAGCCACGGGGAUUCAUCAGUGAGUAGUCUCUAACAAUAGAAAAUAAUACAAGGAAAUGGUAAACGUUAUGAUCAGAAAAACAUUGACCACUUAGGAAGACAAAGCACAACAGCAAUGAUACAAAUGUUUGUGCACUCUUUCAUCUUGAUCCUAUACUUUGGAAAUUGGUUAGCCACAUGGAUCCUUAGACAACCUUAAGAAUUGUACUUAAGACAAUAACAUUGAUUUGUUACAUCAAAAGAAACAUGGUAUCCUAGAAGCACUCUUCGGCUAUCAUAAUUUAAUAAAAUAAAACUAAUGAAUCAAACAAUUAACUAUUUAGUCAUCAGAAAUUCAAAAUAACAAUAGUCAGUGCAUAUAUCACAUUAUCCUUACACUUAUAAAUCAAUUUAUUUUCAAAAUAGAAUUAGUAAAAAAAGAAUAUUCAUACCUGUGCAAUUUAAGGAUAGGCUUCAUCCACGAUAGCAAAAUUAGGAUUCGCCACUAAAGCUAUUCCUUCCAACACCCUAAUUGCCCUGAUUAUAAGAGCAAAAUAAGGAGGUAUCCUAAAUGGAUAAUAAAAUGUUAUCUGUGCCAAAUCUGAUGCCAAGUCCUGAAAGUUGAUGUUUUUUGCGCCCCCACCCUCAAGUGCUUAAUCAAAAACCUUUACCAGAACGGGCAAAAUUGGCAUAAAAAAGGAGAAGAGUAAUAAGAUUUGCUCAUGAAUAUUACACACUAUAACCAUGUCGAAGAUAUGCUUAUAUCAAAACACUCACACAGAGUAACAUGGAAGAAGAUUACUUGACAUAAAAAGAACGUCCUAAAAACCCUCUGAUUGCUACAUACUUACCUCUUUUCAACUUUCAAGCUAUUGACACUAGGUUUAUGAAAAUUUCCCUUGAUAGACGAUUUGAUUUCAAUUUCAACAUAUUCCAAGCCAAGACAAGCUAAAUAAGUUAUCAUACAAUUUCAUUUCAUAUCAAUGUUAUAAAUAAAUACCCUAUCCUUUAAGAAAGACAAAGCAUCUUGUGAAAAAAGUUGAGAGAAAUAAAAUCUGCGUCAUCCAAAAGUAACUUUAAAAUCGAAGAAAUAAAAAAAGAAUUUACCUAUUUGACUAAGAAGUGUGGGUUUGCAGGAGUUGUGAGGAAGAAGCUGAGAAAGAGGAAAUAUAUAUAAAUAAAAAAUAAUUAUAAUUGAUACUAACAGUAAAACAGAAAAAGAAGAAUACAAGGGUAGGAGGGAAAAGAAGGGAAAGGAAAGGAAAUGGAGGAAAGAAACUAAAAUGAGAGGAAUUGCUGCAGUGGAGCGGCAGAAAGGAAGAAGGCGUUUGGCUGAAGGAGGGUUGACGAGAAAACAAAAGUGGAAAAUUAUGUGAGGAUUAAAUCAGAAAAAUUCAUUCUAAAACUGCUAUUGACAAUUUAUAUAUAAAAGAGCCAAAAUCACCUAUAAGUUGAAUCACUGGUUGAUAUAAGGAAGAAAAUGAAAGUACCUAGAAAAGAAAGCACUAACAUAAACCCAGAAAGAAACAAAAAUUGAAACGAAAAGAAAAGGUCAACAAUUCGAAAACAAACUAGCAAUGAAUUGAAACAAAACUUAACAAAUUAAAGGGUAUGAUCUUUGCAAUUAAAAGCAUCUUACAAAGUAUUGGGAAGAAGAAGACGGUUAAAAAUAAAGAAACAAUGAAAGGCAUAAAAUCGGUUAAAAUGUGGACAAGUAAAGAACAAGAAGAAAAACAAAAGCUUUACCUCAGAAAGAGAGAAAGAGAGGAAAAGAAACAACAUCGUGUAAUUUGCCUGAGAGGAGAAGAUAUGGGACGGACUGAGGAAAAAGGGAGAGAUAAUAAGAAGAUGAAGAAUAGAAGAAGGAUAGUACUUUUACUUGGAUGAAGAAGGAGAUGGAAAAUGUCUUACAAAAAAAAAAAUCCCUAAGACAUUUUCCCUAAAACGAAUGAGAUUUUACCGUAUCUUGGAAAACAUUUUCCAAAUGUAAAAUGUUUUCAUGCUUCCAAAUAUGGUAAAAUCAGGAAAUAUUUUCUUGAUAAACAAACGGAGCCUAAAAAUAAUUAUAUAUUAAAUAAAAAAUUAAAUUCGAUUCAAUUUUAGAUAAUUAUGAUUUUUAAACUUACAUUUCAUAAAUUAAAAUAUUUCAAUCAAAUCAACUUUCGAUUUAAUUGAUUUUUUUCUCAACCCUAACUGUUACCAUCAUUUCCAGAUCACAUAUUUUAUAUUUUACAACUCAAUCAACAAUUUUAUUAUUUGAGCAACUAACAAAUGAGAAUUCGACAGACUCAAAAAAGAACAAAUAGAUAAAAUGUCAUGUUUAAAAACAAGAGAGCUCCAUGACGCCAAAAGAACGGAAGACCUAAGACAAUUCAUCGCAUUGCCACAAUCUAAUUAAAAAAGAAUUUAUUCACUGCUUGGUGUCUGAAUUAUAUCCAUUUUUUUUAUUUUAAUACUUGAAUUUUAUUAUAUUUUUUUGUACCUAAGAGCUAACUGCGAUAAAAAAAAAUUGAUAUUGAUAACAUGACAUAUCGAUUGAUAAUGUGGCAUGUUGACCAAUGAUAUUGUUGGUUGAACAAAAUUAAUUGGUUAUUGACAAGUCAAAAUUAUUAAAUGUAAAAGAUUAUAGAAGAAUUGUAAGACUUGUUUUUAAAAAUUUUGUAAAAAUUAUUUAAAAAUAUUAAAAAAGUUGUAAAAAACACUAAAAAUCAUAGAAAACUGUAAAACUUAUUAAAACAUUACAAAAUUUGCAGGUUGCAGUGUGUUUGCUUAAUCCGUUGGGUAGUACAUAUUUUGUAGUAUUUAACAGUUUGAAGUUGCAAAAUAAAGAAAUGCCAAAUCAUGGAUUUUUUAUCAUUCAAGAUACAAAAUUUCAAAAAGGCUAAUAAAAAAUAUUAUGCUUUUCUACAAAAAAGAUGAAGCUUGUACUUAUUGUGGAGAAAUAAGAAAAUCUUAUACUUGUUACGGUUAUAUGAGUAGUUCUGCUAAAAAUGUAUUUAUUAAGAUUAAAAUAAAAGACAUUUUAUUAGUCAGCAAGGCCAUUAAGUUGAGGUUUUAAUUUUUUUUUUAUAAAUAUGGUUUUAAAAAGGGUUAAUAUCACAAAUUGCCAAACAUAGGACAUGGAACAUGUAUUUCUUUGGUGCCAAUUUGCUCGAGCAAUAUGAAGUUAUUUGGGGUUCAAGUCAUGCAGGGUUUGGUCCAAUAUUUUAUCAUCACGAGUCGAAAAUCCUUCAAUGCAAUUAAAACCCAAGUCCAACCAGCACAAAAGCGAGGCGAAGGGCGACAGAGACAUGGUUAACAAAGCUUAAUCAUACGAUAGGACCAAAUUGGGAGUGAGAAGGAAAUGGGGACAGAAGGAAGAUUGGAAUGGGGAAAAGGAGAACAGAUUCGUAGCUAAAACCGAUAUUCCAAGAAGCUGGGAAGGGGUUUCCAUCAUGAAAUGGUAGCUAAAAGUGAAGAAACUCGGGGAGGUUCUACAGUUUCACGGGGAGACAGAACAAAUAGAACUAGUUAAAGGAGUCAAUUAUGAGUGAUCUGUUAAUAUGGUAUUUUCCUUAAAUCAUAUAUUAGCUUUUUGAUAAAAAUAAAUGGCCUAAAAUGGGUCUUAGCCAAUCUGCAUUCUCUUCAGCUGUGACCUUUGGCGUGACUUUGUUGUAUUUUCCCUCAUUACUGGAAUUGGGUCCCCUCAUCUUAAAUGUGAAAGCAUUCCAGCAUUUCAAUAAUUGACAUAGAAAAGAAUGUUUUAAGGCGGUGAUUUUUGUUAAUACCACCAUUUUGCCUUGUCAUUGUAGUUAAUGAACAGGGUAGCAUACUUUUUUUGGACAAUGUGCAAGUUCUCUUUUUCAAAUUCAUAGACACGUACAGUGACGCUCGUCUAGGGUAUUGCUAAGUGCCCAUUUUAUAGUCUAAUGUUCCAUAAUAUUAGUUUCAAAUUACCAAAUCUGUUUAAGGUAGGAACUUUUAGUAGGAUAGACCACAAUUGAUAACUAAUUUGGAAAUUCAGAUGCAUGAUGACUUGCCAAGAAAUAGUUUCCGACUAGAAAAUGCAUACAGGACUAGGAGUAGGCUCCAGACUUUAAAAAGACAAAGUCGAAUUCAUAUAAUUUUAAUUAUAUGAAUGACUACGAUAUAUUACAAUGGGACCCCGAAAGACUCAAUGUAGAUAAGUGAUUCCCUUUACUUUCUAAUUGAUUGAAAGUUUCAUAGCCAAGCAUGUUCAAGGACGUGGGUUUGUUCUUGCAAUGCCAGCACCACAACCUGUUGGAAUUGGCACCUCAAAACAAGGGUUUAGAACGAAUGUGUCAUCACCACCUGGAAUCUGGCGAUUUCCACCAAUUGUGCUGCCAAAGUGGCCGCCACUGCUGCCGGUGUGAGUGCCAAUUCCGAUAAUGUGUGGAUUGUGAUGUUUGAAACCUAGUGGCAACAACACUCGUCCAAGGCCUGGAAUGAGUACGGUCAUGUUUUAGAUAUUCAG
rnacentral:lncRNA from 1 species